GGCCCAUGCUCAUAUUAUCCUCUUCUACUUCUACCGUCGCCUUCCUUCUUCCUCGUCGCCAUCUCCUCUCUCACCCUCCACCACGCCCCGCUCCCUCCAAAACCCCAGCAGAAUGGAGGGGAACGCGCUCGCCCUCUCGCAAUUCCGCACGCGGCUCGGCUCGCCGCUCCACCUCUCCGCGGACGCCAGCUCCGUCGCGCGCAGCAGCUCAGGGAGGAGCAUGGCCUCGAGGUACGACACGGGAGCGCCUCCGAGCAGAGCAGGGAGGGGCAGGGUUUGGAAGCGUGAUGAUCCGGAGUCCUCACCUCGCCGAGCAGGGAUUAGUGGAAUUCCAAAGCUCGAUCCCAAAUUCUCUAAUAAAGGAGCAGGGACAAAUAAGGCUCCAAUUAUUAAUUUCGAGGUUUCGCAUCACAGAGCAGUUGCUGCGGUGAGGUUGCUAAGAGCUGACAAGGGGAAGGCGUUUGUUGAUCUUUUAAAUGAGAAAGCAAACGAUUCUGCGGAGAAUGAGAUGGGCUAUGUAGAAAGGACGUUAGGAUUCAGUACACGGAAUUUGGAUGACAGGGAUAUAAGACUGGUUACUGUCAUAGUAGCUGGAACUGUACGUUGGAAACGCUACAUCGAUUUUCUUAUCAUGUCACUCUGUAGUGACGAGAAGGUGUUCAGCAAAAUGGAACCACUGCUGCUGCAGAUACUGCGAAUUGGCUUCUUUGAAAUUCUCAAACUUAAUGUACCAGCUUAUGCAGUUGUUGAUGAGAAUGUAAGACUUGCGAAAGUAGCUUUAAGGCCUGGUGCCGGGAACAUGGUGAACGCAAUUCUGCGCAAACUUCUAUCACUGAAGGAGACGGACUCUCUUCCUCUUCCAAAGAUAGAAGGUGAUGAUCGUGCCCAAGCUCGUGCACUUUCCAUAAUUUAUUCUCAUCCUGUUUGGAUGGUGAGAAGAUGGAUUCGAUUUCUUGGAAAAGAAGAAGCUCUAAAAUUGAUGGAUUGGAAUAACAGUGACCCUUAUUUCAGUCUAAGGGUGAACACAACAAAUGGCUAUACAAGGGAUGACCUUAUUAACCGAUUGGACGAUUUGCAGGUUCAUUACGAAAAGUCAAUUAUGGAUGAAUUUGUCCGCAUUCGUGAGGGCAUGCAGGCAGUCUUACAAGCUGGAUUACUGAAAGAAGGCAUGUGUGCUGUGCAGGAUGAGAGCGCAGGUCUUGUUGUGUCUGUGGUCGAUCCACAACCUGGCGAAACAAUCAUGGAUUGUUGUGCUGCACCUGGCGGCAAAACUUUGUUCAUGGCAUCCCGACUGGCAGGACAAGGGAAGAUAUGGGCUCUUGACAUAAACAAAGGUCGCUUGAGAAUUCUCAUGGAGGCAGCAAAGUGCCACAACCUUGAUGAUAUAAUCACUGAUGUCCACGGUGAUCUUCGACUAUAUGCUAAGGAAAGCACUGCCAAAUAUGACAAGGUAUUGUUGGAUGCUCCAUGCUCUGGGCUGGGCGUCCUUUCCAAGAGGGCAGACUUGCGUUGGAAUCGACAAUUUGAAGAUCUGGAGGAGUUGAUAUGUUUGCAAGAUGAGCUCCUUGAUUCAGCGUCACUGUUGGUAAAGCCUGGUGGUGUACUAAUCUACAGUACAUGUUCCAUUGAUCAUGAAGAAAACGAGAACCGGAUUACUGCUUUUGUUCAGAGGCAUCCGGAGUUUAUCCCGCAGAGUGUACAUGGAUAUGUUCCUGCAGAAUUUAUCACAGAUGAAGGUUUCUAUUCCUCAACUCCAACUAAACACACUCUGGAUGGGGCAUUUGCUGCUCGUCUUGUCCGGUCAUUGCACUAGGACUCCUAGAACUAGUUUCUUAGAGGAGGAUAACCUUAUGCGCUCUGCGGUGCAUAUUGCUUCUUGGACUGCAUUCAAAUGUAGCCAAUGCUUUGCAAACAAGGAAGCCUCCCAGAGGGCAUGGAAAGACGGUGGAGAUGACAAGACUCGGUGGCUCUGAAUCUGGGUCUGCGGUGCAUACAAAGAUAUCCACAGAAGGUAGGACUGUGAACUGCCUGGUUUAUCAGUUGAAGAUUUAUUCCAGAAUCAGGUAAGAGUUGAGGUGUUAAAAUGGACUUUUUCUUACAAGAAACGACCCCGCGAUCUAGCCCCUACUUUUAUCAUCCAUACACCUUUUGUUAGAUAUAAAAGGCCACUUGGACCGGCUUAUUUAUUUAUUUAUUUAUUCAUGUUCUAGGUUAGUGAUCUCCAAUCAUUUGGAAUUUAUGACCUUUAGCCUUGAUAUUGCCUUAUAUUUUUGGUUAGUGACCUCCCACCAGUUUGAAUUUUUCCCUUUGGCCUUAGUAUUGCCUUCUAUCUUUGACAGUCAUUAUUCGAACCAAAACCAUUUUCUUUUGACGAUUGCGUGUUCAAUGGAGCUCAACCCUUCAUCAGCACCGUCGUCAACAACAUCAAGGAGGAGGCUGCCUUAUGGGCAAGGGCAGGAGCGCAGGGGCUACGCCUGAUCCUCCCUCAGACUUGGGAUGUACACUAGUCCAUCGCUUUUUGUUCCUUCUGUGUUGUAUCGCCUCUUAGGGGGCAUGUAACCGUAAACCUUCUAUCUAUCCAAUGAAAUGAAACACAAAGGCUUUUUGCGUUUUCUCGAAAAAAAUAAUAAUAGAGACCCUUGUACA